AUGCAAGUCGAACGGUAACAGGAAGCAGCUUGCUGCUUCGCUGACGAGUGGCGGACGGGUGAGUAAUGUCUGGGAAACUGCCUGAUGGAGGGGGAUAACUACUGGAAACGGUGGCUAAUACCGCAUAACGUCGCAAGACCAAAGAGGGGGACCUUCGGGCCUCUUGCCAUCAGAUGUGCCCAGAUGGGAUUAGCUUGUUGGUGAGGUAACGGCUCACCAAGGCGACGAUCCCUAGCUGGUCUGAGAGGAUGACCAGCCACACUGGAACUGAGACACGGUCCAGACUCCUACGGGAGGCAGCAGUGGGGAAUAUUGCACAAUGGGCGCAAGCCUGAUGCAGCCAUGCCGCGUGUAUGAAGAAGGCCUUCGGGUUGUAAAGUACUUUCAGCGGGGAGGAAGGUGUUGUGGUUAAUAACCGCAGCAAUUGACGUUACCCGCAGAAGAAGCACCGGCUAACUCCGUGCCAGCAGCCGCGGUAAUACGGAGGGUGCAAGCGUUAAUCGGAAUUACUGGGCGUAAAGCGCACGCAGGCGGUCUGUCAAGUCGGAUGUGAAAUCCCCGGGCUCAACCUGGGAACUGCAUUCGAAACUGGCAGGCUUGAGUCUUGUAGAGGGGGGUAGAAUUCCAGGUGUAGCGGUGAAAUGCGUAGAGAUCUGGAGGAAUACCGGUGGCGAAGGCGGCCCCCUGGACAAAGACUGACGCUCAGGUGCGAAAGCGUGGGGAGCAAACAGGAUUAGAUACCCUGGUAGUCCACGCCGUAAACGAUGUCUACUUGGAGGUUGUGCCCUUGAGGCGUGGCUUCCGGAGCUAACGCGUUAAGUAGACCGCCUGGGGAGUACGGCCGCAAGGUUAAAACUCAAAUGAAUUGACGGGGGCCCGCACAAGCGGUGGAGCAUGUGGUUUAAUUCGAUGCAACGCGAAGAACCUUACCUGGUCUUGACAUCCACAGAAGAAUCCAGAGAUGGAUUUGUGCCUUCGGGAACUGUGAGACAGGUGCUGCAUGGCUGUCGUCAGCUCGUGUUGUGAAAUGUUGGGUUAAGUCCCGCAACGAGCGCAACCCUUAUCCUUUGUUGCCAGCGGUUAGGCCGGGAACUCAAAGGAGACUGCCAGUGAUAAACUGGAGGAAGGUGGGGAUGACGUCAAGUCAUCAUGGCCCUUACGACCAGGGCUACACACGUGCUACAAUGGCGCAUACAAAGAGAAGCGACCUCGCGAGAGCAAGCGGACCUCAUAAAGUGCGUCGUAGUCCGGAUUGGAGUCUGCAACUCGACUCCAUGAAGUCGGAAUCGCUAGUAAUCGUGGAUCAGAAUGCCACGGUGAAUACGUUCCCGGGCCUUGUACACACCGCCCGUCACACCAUGGGAGUGGGUUGCAAAAGAAGUAGGUAGCUUAACCUUCGGGAGGGCGCUUACCACUUUGUGAUUCAUGACUGGGGUGAAGUCGUAACAAGGUAACCGUAGGGGAACCUGCGGUUGGAUCACCUCCUUACCUUAAAGAA
rnacentral:rRNA from 1 species